GUAAUCCUACGGGACGCAGCAGUGGGGAAUAUUGGGCAAUGGGCGCAAGCCUGACCCAGCAACGCCGCGUGAAGGAAGAAGGCUUUCGGGUUGUAAACUUCUUUUAUGAGGGACGAAAGAAAUGACGGUACCUCAUGAAUAAGCCACGGCUAACUACGUGCCAGCAGCCGCGGUAAUACGUAGGUGGCAAGCGUUAUCCGGAUUUACUGGGGGUAAAGGGCGUGAAGGCGGGACUGCAAGUCAGAUGUGAAAAUUAUGGGCUGAACCCAUAACCUGCAUUUUAAACUG
rnacentral:rRNA from 1 species